UACGGAGGGUGCAAGCGUUAUCCGGAUUCACUGGGUUUAAAGGGUGCGUAGGAGGGCAGGUAAGUCCGUGGUGAAAUCCUAGAGCUUAACUCUAGAACUGCCGUGGAUACUAUCUGUCUUGAAUCCCGUGGAGAUGAGCGGAAUAAUGUCAUGUAGCGGUGAAAUGCUUAGAUAUGACAUAGAACACCAAUUGCGAAAGGCAGCUCGUUACACGAAGAUUGACUCUGAGGCACGAAAGCGUGGGGAUCAAACAGG
rnacentral:rRNA from 1 species